rnacentral:tRNA from 1 species
UCCAGGGUAGCCUAGUGGUCAUGGCAUCUGCCCGGCAAGCGGAAGGUCGUGGGUUCGAUUCCCAUCCCUUGAAU